GGUUGACCCACAGCAGCUGGACGGUGGCCAUGGAAGUCGGAAUCCGCUAAGGAGUGUGUAACAACUCACCUGCCGAAUCAACUAGCCCUGAAAAUGGAUGGCGCUAGAGCGUCGGACCUAUACCGGACCGUCAAGGCAAUACGAGCACCCUGGGUGCCAAGCUUUGACGAGUAGGAGGGCCGCCGCGGUGCGCGUCGAAGUCUGGGGCGUGAGCCUGGAUGGAGCCGCCGCGGGUGCAGCUGCUGUGGGUGAACC
rnacentral:rRNA from 1 species